GUCCACGCCGUAAACGAUGGGUACUAGGUGUUGGGGGUAUUGACCCCCCCAGUGCCGCAGUUAACGCACUAAGUACCCCGCCUGGGAAGUACGGCCGCAAGGCUAAAACUCAAAGGAAUUGACGGGGGCCCGCACAAGCGGUGGAGCAUGUGGUUUAAUUCGACGCAACGCGAAGAACCUUACCUGGGCUUGACAUCUCAGGAAUCCCCUGGAAACAGGGGGGUGCCCGCAAGGGAGCCUGAAGACAGGUGCUGCAUGGCUGUCGU
rnacentral:rRNA from 1 species